rnacentral:rRNA from 1 species
CAAACUCCGAAUGCCAAUUAAUUUAACUUGGGAGUCAGAACAUGGGUGAUAAGGUCCGUGUUCGAAAGGGAAACAGCCCAGACCACCAGCUAAGGUCCCAAAAUAUAUGUUAAGUGGAAAAGGAUGUGGCGUUGCCCAGACAACUAGGAUGUUGGCUUAGAAGCAGCCAUCAUUUAAAGAGUGCGUAAUAGCUCACUAGUCGAGUGACACUGCGCCGAAAAUGUACCGGGGCUAAACAUAUUACCGAAGCUGUGGAUUGUCCUUUGGACAAUGGUAGGAGAGCGUUCUAAGGGCGUUGAAGCAUGAUCGUAAGGACAUGUGGAGCGCUUAGAAGUGAGAAUGCCGGUGUGAGUAGCGAAAGACGGGUGAGAAUCCCGUCCACCGAUUGACUAAGGUUUCCAGAGGAAGGCUCGUCCGCUCUGGGUUAGUCGGGUCCUAAGCUGAGGCCGACAGGCGUAGGCGAUGGAUAACAGGUUGAUAUUCCUGUACCACCUAUAAUCGUUUUAAUCGAUGGGGGGACGCAGUAGGAUAGGCGAAGCGUGCGAUUGGAUUGCACGUCUAAGCAGUAAGGCUGAGUAUUAGGCAAAUCCGGUACUCAUUAAGGCUGAGCUGUGAUGGGGAGAAGACAUUGUGUCUUCGAGUCGUUGAUUUCACACUGCCGAGAAAAGCCUCUAGAUAGAAAAUAGGUGCCCGUACCGCAAACCGACACAGGUAGUCAAGAUGAGAAUUCUAAGGUGAGCGAGCGAACUCUCGUUAAGGAACUCGGCAAAAUGACCCCGUAACUUCGGGAGAAGGGGUGCUCUUUAGGGUUAACGCCCAGAAGAGCCGCAGUGAAUAGGCCCAAGCGACUGUUUAUCAAAAACACAGGUCUCUGCUAAACCGUAAGGUGAUGUAUAGGGGCUGACGCCUGCCCGGUGCUGGAAGGUUAAGAGGAGUGGUUAGCUUCUGCGAAGCUACGAAUCGAAGCCCCAGUAAACGGCGGCCGUAACUAUAACGGUCCUAAGGUAGCGAAAUUCCUUGUCGGGUAAGUUCCGACCCGCACGAAAGGCGUAACGAUUUGGGCACUGUCUCAACGAGAGACUCGGUGAAAUCAUAGUACCUGUGAAGAUGCAGGUUACCCGCGACAGGACGGAAAGACCCCGUGGAGCUUUACUGUAGCCUGAUAUUGAAAUUCGGCACAGCUUGUACAGGAUAGGUAGGAGCCUUUGAAACGUGAGCGCUAGCUUACGUGGAGGCGCUGGUGGGAUACUACCCUAGCUGUGUUGGCUUUCUAACCCGCACCACUUAUCGUGGUGGGAGACAGUGUCAGGCGGGCAGUUUGACUGGGGCGGUCGCCUCCUAAAAGGUAACGGAGGCGCUCAAAGGUUCCCUCAGAAUGGUUGGAAAUCAUUCAUAGAGUGUAAAGGCAUAAGGGAGCUUGACUGCGAGACCUACAAGUCGAGCAGGGUCGAAAGACGGACUUAGUGAUCCGGUGGUUCCGCAUGGAAGGGCCAUCGCUCAACGGAUAAAAGCUACCCCGGGGAUAACAGGCUUAUCUCCCCCAAGAGUUCACAUCGACGGGGAGGUUUGGCACCUCGAUGUCGGCUCAUCGCAUCCUGGGGCUGUAGUCGGUCCCAAGGGUUGGGCUGUUCGCCCAUUAAAGCGGUACGCGAGCUGGGUUCAGAACGUCGUGAGACAGUUCGGUCCCUAUCCGUCGUGGGCGUAGGAAAUUUGAGAGGAGCUGUCCUUAGUACGAGAGGACCGGGAUGGACAUACCUCUGGUGUACCAGUUGUCGUGCCAACGGCAUAGCUGGGUAGCUAUGUGUGGACGGGAUAAGUGCUGAAAG